GUGCGUCUCCAUGCAGAAGGUGGAAAUGGAGAUGAGGAUGAACAGAAGGGAUCCGAACGCCACAUACUGAAACAAACAGAAAGAGAGGUAACUGUGAGGAGCACGUGAAAUCGUCCUUCCAAGGCUAAUGCAAUCAGAAAUAUGAAGGGGUCGAAUAAGAACAUGGCGAACGACAGGCGCUGAUCUCAGUCUCAACCUGACCUAGUUACAGACUGCUGCAGUAACCAGCUUCCUCAGCCCAGGUCCCCCUCGCUCCUCAUGCGUGUCUUUCCCUCUCCAUCUCUCACCCUCCAUGUUGGCUGUUCAAGCGAGGGAACCGGUCCACAAACCAGUUGCACGCAUGGAAUACCUGCAUCCUGUUAACUGCCUUUAAACUGUUUUACGCUAAUUUAUUGUACAAAAGCUGUGCAAAUUCACGAAUCCAGUCUCAAACUGUUUUACCGAAGUGAUUGCAUCACGAACGAGGCUCAGCACAUGCAACAAUACGCGGCAUGUGAGAUAAGCGUGCUACAGUAUUACCAUACAACUUAUGUCCAUAUAAGCCAUGUCCAAAAAUGUGGUACCAUUACUAUAUCACCAUAGCAUAAAAUUACAACAAACAUAGAUUUAUCAUGGUAUGUUAAAAUGGUAAUGGUAAAACUGUGGACAUGGUAAAACAAAAACAUAGUAUUACCGUACUAUGAUGUCCCAAAACAUAGUAUUAUGAGCCUACCCAAAAAUAUAGUACUACCACAUUUUGACGUCUAUUACUGUUACUAUUACUAUUACUACUACUAUUACUGUACUACAGUGUCAGCAAACA